rnacentral:ncRNA from 2 species
CUAUCUUUGUAUUGCAUUGGUUCGCCUAUUUCCCACUACAAGCAGAAAAGGUGAUUAAAAGGGAAUCGGGUGCAAAUCCCGAACAGUCCCGCUGCUGUGAGUUUCACACAAUUGUUAUCAGCACGUACCAUUUGCCACUGGAAUCUUUUCCGGGAAGGCCGCUGAUAAUAGAAACAAGUCAGAAGACCUGCCAUGCAUAUCUUUUUAUC